CUGAAGUCCUCGGUGUCCCGCAAACUGGCUGCUGCUGCCUGGAUGGGGAGGAAGAGGAGGAUGAGGAAGAGGAGGAGGAGGUUGACUGCUUCACUGCCCCGCUGCUUCCGCUGCAGUGUGUCCCUGCAGCAGCCCCGUGGGACCCCGGUCUGGCCCUCACAGAUGCGUCCAGGCUGCAGGCGGUGUUUAGAGCGUGGUGGGAUCCCUGUUGUUAUGCGGCUGGAUGCUGCAGCCUGGGGCCGUGAUGAACCGAGUCCCUCACAGGCCAGUGGCCUUCCACUUCAACUGUCAAACACAGGGAGGCUGCUGCAGAGGAGAUGGCAGGACGGAAAAAAAUAAAAAUAUUCACUCUUGUCAGUUGUUAAGGCUGAAAGGAGAAUACUCUGAAUGUAACGACAUUAUGAAUGAAUGUAUUCUCAUUUUUUCUUCACAUCCAGCCGUCUAUGUUUGCAUCCAAUAUAAGAGAACUUUAUUUUCACACUUUUCCAGCUUAUAAUCUUUUUUAUUUUUAUCAAAUUAUAGCCAUUAUUCAAUAUACCGCCAGAGGGUUGUGCCUAAAGGGGAUGUGUUGUGGAAAAUUCACAUUUUGCACAUUUUUGUACUUCAACUUGGGUCUCAACUGCUUCUAAAAAACAAUCCAAGCGCUAAAAAAAGGACACCAGCUGUGUUUUUGGGAUGAAGUUAAUGUUUUUGCUCCUUGAAAAGCCUCCGGAAUGUAACGUCACAAAUCAGCAAAGAUUGCCCGUUACCUAGCAACCCCAGCAAAAUUCCGCCCGUUACCUAGCAACCAGAGCUGAAAUCCAGCACCUUUGGUCAGCUGGGUUUACGCCUGUACACAGCACAAACAACAAACAUUACCAAGUAUUGCUGGUCUAGUUUCCAGUGCAAA